rnacentral:rRNA from 1 species
UACGUAGGGGGCAAGCGUUGUCCGGAAUCAUUGGGCGUAAAGCGCGUGUAGGCGGGUCGGUAAGUCCGCUCUGAAAGCCCGGGGCUCAACCCCGGGAGGCGGGUGGAUACUGUCGACCUCGAGUCCGGAAGAGGCGAGUGGAAUUCCUGGUGUAGCGGUGAAAUGCGCAGAUAUCAGGAGGAACACCAAUGGCGAAGGCAGCUCGCUGGGACGGUACUGACGCUGAGACGCGAAAGCGUGGGGAUCAAACAGG